CGACUGCAUGAAGCCGGAAUCGCUAGUAAUCGCGGAUCAGAAUGCCGCGGUGAAUACGUUCCCGGGUCUUGUACACACCGCCCGUCACACCAUGGGAGUCGGAAAUGCCCGAAGCCGGUGGCCUAACCGAUAAGGGAGGGAGCCGUCGAAGGCAGGUCUGAUGACUGGGGUGAAGUCGUAACAAGGUACC
rnacentral:rRNA from 1 species